rnacentral:rRNA from 1 species
GACAGAGGGUGCAAACGUUGUUCGGAAUUACUGGGCGUAAAGCGCGUGUAGGCGGCAAGGCAAGUCGGAUGUGAAAGCCCACGGCUCAACCGUGGAAGUGCACCCGAAACUGCCUCGCUAGAGUCUCGGAGAGGAAGGUGGAAUGCUUGGUGUAGAGGUGAAAUUCGUAGAUAUCAAGCGGAACACCGGUGGCGAAGGCGGCCUUCUGGACGAUGACUGACGCUGAGACGCGAAAGCGUGGGGAGCAACAGG